rnacentral:rRNA from 1 species
CCUACGGGAGGCAGCAGUGGGGAAGUAUUGGACAAUGGGCGAAAGCCUGAUCCAGCAAUGCCGCGUGAGUGAUGAAGGCCUUAGGGUUGUAAAGCUCUUUUACCCGGGAUGAUAAUGGCAGUACCGGGAGAAUAAGCUCCGGCUAACUCCGUGCCAGCAGCCGCGGUAAUACGGAGGGAGCUAGCGUUGUUCGGAAUUACUGGGCGUAAAGCGUACGUAGGCGGUUAUUCAAGUCAGAGGUGAAAGCCCGGGGCUCAACCCCGGAACGGCCUUUGAAACUAGGUAGCUAGAGUCUUGGAGAGGUUAGUGGAAUUCCGAGUGUAGAGGUGAAAUUCGUAGAUAUUCGGAAGAACACCAGUGGCGAAGGCGACUAACUGGUACAAGUACUGACGCUGAGGUACGAAAGCGUGGGGAGCAAACAGGAUUAGAUACCCUGGUAGUCCACGCCGUAAACGAUGAUAACUAGCUGUCCGGGCACUUGGUGCUUGGGUGGCGCAGCACACAUAUUAUCGUCCUCGGUGGUAGGUCGCGAGAAUAAACUUAAAUAAGUAAGUAGUAGCGNGAGAGNGUCGACGACGACACGAGGAGGAGG